rnacentral:rRNA from 1 species
CCUUGUACACACCGCCCGUCACACCAUGGGAGUGGGUUGCAAAAGAAGUAGGUAGCUUAACCUUCGGGAGGGCGGCUUACCACUUUGUGAUUCAUGACUGGGGUG